rnacentral:tmRNA from 1 species
GGGGGCGCUUUGGAUUCGACGCCGGUAUCAAACCCUGAGGUGCAUGUCGAGAGGGUAUAGACUCUCGUAAAUCAAUCUAUGCAACUUCAUAGUUGCCAACGACGAUAGCUACGCUCUAGCCGCUUAGUGCGGUUAGCGGUCACCCCGGGAUGCCUGUAAACCGGUGUUUUUGUGACUGUCAUAUAGAACAGGAUCGCCAGCCUAGCGCGCCCAGCGCGAAGCAGCUAAAAGUACUGGGCUCGCCCGAACCACCCUGCCCGUCGGGCCGGCGAGGGUUNNNNNNNGUUCAAAUCCCCCCGCCUCCACCA